CAAACACGGAACAGAACCUGGGCUUUGGAACCAACCGCCAAGGUUCCGAUGGGGACCCUGCCUCUGUUGCCAAGUGAUACCAACUCUGCGCCUGGAUGUUCUCACCUGUACCACGGGGAUACACACCGCUUCAGUGGGUUGGCACCGUUGACAUUUGCACAAAAAAGCUUCUGUAAAUAAUGAUGGCCAAUCAGAAAGGGCGAAUACCCACCAUUUGCUUCCACGUGGAUGGAACUGGAGGGUACUAUGCUGAGUGAGAUAAGUCGAUCCGACAAUCGUCAUAUGGUUUCACUCGUGUGGAAUAUAAGAAAUUGUGAAAGGGAUUAUAAGGGAAAGGAGGGAAACUGAGUAGGGGGAAAUGAGAAAAGGAGACAAAACAUGAGACUCCUAACUCUGAGAAACAAAGGGUUGCAGAAGGGAAGGUGGGUGGGGGAUGGGGUGACUGGGUGAUGGGCACUAAGGAGGGCACGUGAUGGGAUGAGCACUGGGUGUUAUACUAUAUGUUGGCAAAUUGAAUUUGAAUAAAAAAAUAAUGAUGGCCAACAUUAGCCAGGCUAGGAUCUAGUUAGCAUACGCUGCCAACCAUGCUUUUGGGGCAGUAAGGGUGUCCCAAGGCAUUUGAGGUGGAGGAAAGUGCUGUUGGGCACACACACAACUCCAGCUUUAAGAAAAGACUGGAUUGCAUCUGGAGCUGGGAUCUACCACUUCCAGAAAAUGACAGACUGGGGCUCUGACAUAACAGAUGGUAACAAGUGCAAGUGACACCAUGGGGGGGCGGGGGGAAGAGCCCUGGGAGCAGAGAAGGCUAGUUUGUGAGAGGGUUCUGGGAUGCCAUCAAGGGAAGGCGUCUUCCCUGGCACUCGAGGUUCGGAGUGAGCCACCACUGGGCGAUUGGGAGACUUCUCUGUCCAGAACACCUCCACUCAGCAACUCAUUCAUUUGUUUCACAGACUGCCCGGGAACAUCCUCAUGGUCCACAUCCUUGCCCUCAAGGCCCACCGGCUGCUCCUGGAUCUCGGAGGGACGCGGAAAGACAGAGUCUCUGUACCCCCAGGGGCCGGGAGGGGACACACCCGGUGUCACCGCGGUGCGGCACGCACAAAGGGCGCGGCGACGCCGUCGUGCCUACUAGUUAAAAGCUUAUUAGUCCCCUCGGAGCAGUGUGAUCCCACUUUGUUCCUGAACGGCCUGAGCGCGCUCUUUCAUGCUAUUGUGCGCGCUGCGAUUUAGCGCGGCCUUUGUGGGCCUGAAAGGACCGACGGCCUCGCCGGGCGCUCCUUCCCGCGGCACCAGCUUCGGUGGCAU
rnacentral:lncRNA from 1 species